rnacentral:rRNA from 2 species
GUCGGUGACGAUAGCCAAGGGGUCACACCUGUUCCCAUCCCGAACACAGCAGUUAAGACCUUGGCGCCGAUGAUACUGCUCAGCGGGAAAGUAGGUCAUCGCCGACU